ACGAACGCUGGCGGCAGGCCUAACACAUGCAAGUCGAACGCCCCGCAAGGGGAGUGGCAGACGGGUGAGUAACACGUGGGAACCUUCCCUAUAGUACGGAAUAGCCCAGGGAAACUUGGAGUAAUACCGUAUACGCCCGAAAGGGGAAAGAUUUAUCGCUAUAGGAUGGGCCCGCGUAGGAUUAGCUAGUUGGUGAGGUAAUGGCUCACCAAGGCGACGAUCCUUAGCUGGUUUGAGAGAACGACCAGCCACACUGGGACUGAGACACGGCCCAGACUCCUACGGGAGGCAGCAGUGGGGAAUAUUGGACAAUGGGCGAAAGCCUGAUCCAGCCAUGCCGCGUGAGUGAUGAAGGCCUUAGGGUUGUAAAGCUCUUUUGGCGGGGACGAUAAUGACGGUACCCGCAGAAUAAGUCCCGGCUAACUUCGU
rnacentral:rRNA from 1 species